ensembl:snRNA U5 U5 spliceosomal RNA
AUGCUCUGGUUUCUCUUCAGAUCGUAUAAAUCUUUCGCCUUUUACUAAAGAUUUCCGUGGAGAGGAACAGUUGUGAGUGUUCAACCAAUUUUUUGAGGUCUCGAUUUUUUCGAGGCU